CACCAAGGCAUCGGCCCUCCCCCCUCGUCCAAGAUACCUGGCCUUCACUUUGGCCUUCAAACUCCACAUGCCAACCCCUGGCCACCUUUCCUGGCACGGAGGGCAUGCCCAAAUACCCAAAACAUUUUCGAGGUCAGGGGAGGGACCCGACCCAGCAUCUUUCUUUUUCUUUACUCCUCUUCCCAAUAGGUUCGGCAAGGACCAUACCCGCCGGCUG